rnacentral:rRNA from 1 species
GGUUUGAUUAUGGCUCAGAUUGAACGCUGGCGGGAUGCUUUACACAUGCAAGUCGAACGGCAGCAUCGACUUCGGUCUGGUGGCGAGUGGCGAACGGGUGAGUAAUGUAUCGGAACGUGCCUAGUAGCGGGGAUAACUACGCGAAAGCGCAGCUUACUACCGCAUACUGGCCCUUCGGGGGGAAAGCGGGGGACCUUCGGGCCUCGCAAUUAUUAGAGCGCCGAUAUCGGAUUAGCUGGUGGGGUAACGGCUCACCAAGGCGACGAUCCGUAGCUGGUUUGAGAGGACGACCAGCCACAUUGGGACUGAGACACGGCCCAGACUCCUACGGGAGGCGGCAGUGGGAAUUUUGGACAAUGGGGGAAACCCUGAUCCAGCCAUCCUUGGCGUGUGCGAUGAAGGCCUUCGGGUUGUAAAGCACUUUUGGCAGGAAAGAAACGGCACGGGAUAAUACCCCGUGCAACUGACGGUACCUGCAGAAUAAGCACUGGCUAACUACGUGCCAGCAGCCGCGGUAAUACGUAGGGUGCAAGCGUUAAUCGGAAUUACUGGGCGUAAAGCGUGCGCAGGCGGUUCGGAAAGAAAGAUGUGAAAUCCCAGAGCUUAACUCUGGAACUGCAUUUUUAACUACCGAGCUAGAGUGUGUCAGAGUGGGAGUGUGGAAUUCGCGUGUAGCAGUGAAAUGUAGAUAUGCGGAGGAACACCGAUGGCGAAGGCAGCCUCCUGGGAUAACACUGACGCUCAUGCACGAAAGCGGGGAGCAACAGGAUUAGAUACCCUGGUAGUCCACGCCCUAAACGAUGUCAACUUAGCUGUUGGGGCCUUCGGGUCUUGCAGUAGCGCAGCUAACGCGUGAAGUUGACCGCCUGGGAGUACGGUCGCAAGAUUAAAACUCAAAGGAAUUGACGGGGACCCGCACAAGCGGUGGAUGAUGUGGAUUAAUUCGAUGCAACGCGAAAAACCUUACCUACCCUUGACAUGUCUGGAAUCCCGAAGAGAUUUGGGAGUGUCGCAAGAGAACCGGAACACAGGUGCUGCAUGGUCAAGUCGUCAGCUCGUGUCGUGAGAUGUUGGGUUAAGUCCCGCAACGAGCGCAACCCUGUCAUUAGUUGCUACGAAAGGGCACUCUAUCGAGACUGCCGGUGAUAAACCGGAGGAAGGUGGGGAUGACGUCAAGUCCUCAUGGCCCUUAUGGGUAGGGCUUCACACGUCAUACAAUGGUCGGGACAGAGGGUCGCCAACCCGCGAGGGGAGCCAAUCCCAGAAACCCGAUCGUAGUCCGGAUCGCAGUCUGCAACUCGAUCGCGUGGAAGUCGGAAUCGCUAGUAAUCGCGGAUCAGCAUGUCGCGGUGAAUACGUUCCCGGGUCUUGUACACACCGCCCGCUACACCAUGGGAGUGGGUUUUACCAGAAGUAGUUAGCCUAACCGUAGGGAGGGCGAUUACCACGGUAGGAUUCAUGACUGGGGUGAAGUCGUAACAAGGUGCUC